GAUGAACGCUAGCUACAGGCUUAACACAUGCAAGUCGCGGGGCAGCAUGGGGGUUGCUUGCCAUCCCCGAUGGCGACCGGCGCACGGGUGAGUAACGCGUAUCCAACCUGCCCUUCACCACGGGAUAACCCGGCGAAAGUCGGACUAAUACCGUAUGUUGUCCAUUGACGGCCUCCGAUUUGGACGAAAGGCUUGGCGGUGAGGGAUGGGGAUGCGUCCGAUUAGCCAGACGGCGGGGUAACGGCCCACCGUGGCUACGAUCGGUAGGGGUUCUGAGAGGAAGGUCCACCACACUGGAACUGAGACACGGUCCAGACUCCUACGGGAGGCAGCAGUGAGGAAUAUUGGUCAAUGGGCGUAAGCCUGAACCAGCCAAGUAGCGUGCAGGAUGACGGCCCUAUGGGUUGUAAACUGCUUUUAUGCGGGGAUAAAGUGGCCAACGUGUGGGGUUUUGAAGGUACCGAAUGAAUAAGGACCGGCUAAUUCCGUG
rnacentral:rRNA from 1 species